UACGGGGGGGGCAAGCGUUGUUCGGAAUUACUGGGCGUAAAGGGCUCGUAGGUGGCCAACUAAGUCAGACGUGAAAUCCCUCGGCUUAACCGGGGAACUGCGUCUGAUACUGGAUGGCUUGAGUUUGGGAGAGGGACGCGGAAUUCCAGGUGUAGCGGUGAAAUGCGUAGAUAUCUGGAGGAACACCGGUGGCGAAGGCGGCGUCCUGGACCAAUACUGACGCUGAGGAGCGAAAGCGUGGGGAGCGAACAGG
rnacentral:rRNA from 1 species